UGCCCUAGUAACGGCGAGUGAAGCGGCAACAGCUCAAAUUUGAAAUCUGGCUCUCGGGCCCGAGUUGUAAUUUGUAGAGGAUACUUUUGAUGCGGUGCCUUCCGAGUUCCCUGGAACGGGACGCCAUAGAGGGUGAGAGCCCCGUCUGGUUGGAUGCCAAAUCUCUGUAAAGUUCCUUCAACGAGUCGAGUAGUUUGGGAAUGCUGCUCUAAAUGGGAGGUAUAUGUCUUCUAAAGCUAAAUACCGGCCAGAGACCGAUAGCGCACAAGUAGAGUGAUCGAAAGAUGAAAAGCACUUUGAAAAGAGAGUUAAAAAGUACGUGAAAUUGUUGAAAGGGAAGCGUUUAUGACCAGACUUGGGCUUGGUUAAUCAUCUGGGGUUCUCCCCAGUGCACUUUUCCAGCUCAGGCCAGCAUCAGUUUUCCCCGGGGGAUAAAGGCGGAGGGAAUGUGGCUCUCUUCGGGGAGUGUUAUAGCCCACCGUGUAAUACCCUGGGGGGGACUGAGGUUCGCGCAUCUGCAAGGAUGCUGGCGUAAUGGUCAUCAACGACCCGUCUUGAAACACGGACCAAGGAGUCGUCUUCGUAUGCGAGUGUUCGGGUGUCAAACCCCUACGCGUAAUUAAAGUGAACGCAGGUGAGAGCUUCGGCGCAUCAUCGACCGAUCCUGAUGUUCUCGGAUGGAUUUGAGUAAGAGCAUACGGGGCCGGACCCGAAAGAAGGUGAACUAUGCCUGUAUAGGGUGAAGCCAGAGGAAACUCUGGUGGAGGCUCGCAGCGGUUCUGACGUGCAAAUCGAUCGUCAAAUAUGGGCAUG
rnacentral:rRNA from 2 species